UGGGGAAUAGCUCAGUGGUAGAGCAUGUACUUGGCAUGUACGCGGUCUUGGGUUCAAUCCCCAGCACCUCCA
rnacentral:tRNA from 1 species